rnacentral:rRNA from 1 species
GACGAACGCUGGCGGCGUGCUUAACACAUGCAAGUCGAACGGAAAGGCCCUGCUUUUGUGGUAUGCUCGAGUGGCAAACGGGUGUGUCACACGAGUGUAACCUGCCCGUGACUUUGGGAUAACUUCAGGAAACUGGGGCUAAUACCGGAUAGGAGCCUCUGCCGCGUGGUGGGGGGUGGAGAGUUUCGGUGGUGGGGGGUGGACUCGGGGCUUCUCAGCUUGUUGGUGGGGUGGUGGAUUACCAGGGCUUUGACGGGUAGCCGGCCGGAGGGGGGGACCGGCCAAAUGGGGACGGGGAUACGGCCAGGACUCCUACGGGAGGCAGCGGGGGGGAAUAUUGCACAAGGGGCGGAAGCCUGAUGCAGCAACGCCGCGGGCGGGAGGACGGCCUUCGGUUUUUAACCCGUUUUCGCCUGUGCCGAAGCGUGAGUGACGGUAAUGGGUAAAGAAGCACCGGCUAACUACGUG